rnacentral:rRNA from 1 species
UUCCGGUAGGUGAACCUGCGGAAGGAUCAUGA